rnacentral:rRNA from 1 species
AGUGAACGCUGGCGGUAGGCCUAACACAUGCAAGUCGAACGGCAGCACAGUAAGAGCUUGCUCUUACGGGUGGCGAGUGGCGGACGGGUGAGGAAUACAUCGGAAUCUACUUUUUCGUGGGGGAUAACGUAGGGAAACUUACGCUAAUACCGCAUACGACCUACGGGUGAAAGCAGGGGAUCUUCGGACCUUGCGCGAUUGAAUGAGCCGAUGUCGGAUUAGCUAGUUGGCGGGGUAAAGGCCCACCAAGGCGACGAUCCGUAGCUGGUCUGAGAGGAUGAUAGCCCCAACUGAACUGAGACACGGUCCAGACUCCUACGGGAGGCAGCAGUGGGGAAUAUUGGACAAUGGGCGCAAGCCUGAUCCAGCCAUACCGCGUGGGUGAAGAAGGCCUUCGGGUUGUAAAGCCCUUUUGUUGGGAAAGAAAAGCAGCAGGUUAAUACCCCGCUGUUCUGACGGUACCCAAAGAAUAAGCACCGGCUAACUUCGUG